GAUUUUCUGCCUGUUGGAUCUCUUAAUUACUGCUGGAGGGGUGCUGCAGUCUCCAACUAUACAAAGGAAUAUUUUCUUUCAACCAACUUGAUCUGUCUACGUCUGAUGGCCUGGAAUCCUUCAGGAAAGUGUGGUCAGCUGGAUUUUGUCAGAACGUGGAUUUCUACGGGCCUUCUGGCCUCUCAUGUUUGAUGAAGGGAACAGAAGAAAAUGGUUUCACUUCUUCAGUGUAUAUUUAUUUAUUCAUGGAUACCUUUUUCAGUUUUUAUCCUGUGUUUCUUUUUUUCUUUCUUUCUUUCUUUUUUUUUUUUUUUUUGAGACAGAGUUUUGCUCUUGUCACCCAGGCUGGAGUGCAGUGGCACAAUCUCUACUCACUGCAACGUCCGCCUCCUGGUCUCAAGCGAUUCUCCUUCCUCAGCCUCCCAAGUAGCUGGUAUUACAGGUGCCCACCACCACGCCCAGUGAAUUUUUUGUAUUUUUAGUAGAGACAGGGUUUUGCCAUGUUGGGCUGGCUGGUCUCAAACUCCUGAUCUCAGGUGAUCCGCCUGCCUCUGCCUCCCAAAGUGUUGGGAUUACAGGCAUGAGCCAGUGCGCCUGGCCUACCCUGUGUUUCAUGGAAUGCUGAUUGGUGUGAGAUAUGAAAGGAAAUGGAAGUUUUUCCUGGUAGGAAUGAUGAUCUUAAAUUUUUUUUUUUUGAGACUUAGUCUCUCUCUGUCCUCCAGGCUGGAGUGCAAUGGCAUGAUCUCAGCUCACUGCAACCUCCGCUUCCUGGGUUCAAGCUAUUCUCCUGCUUCAGCCCCCCGAGUAGCUGGGAUUACAGGUGCAUGCCACCAUGCCCGGCUAAUUUUUUUGUAUUUUUGGUAGAGACGGGGUUUCACUGUGUUGGUCAGGCUGGUCUCAAACUCCUGACCUUGUGAUCCUCUUGCCUCAGCCUCCCAAAGUGCUGGGAUUACAGGUGUGAGCCACCAGGCCUGGCCAAAAUUUGUUUUCUUUGUAUAGCAUUUUAUUUGUUUCUCCAAGGUGAACUGGAUCCUGCCAUUAGAGACCAAUAAAACUUGUAGUGACUACAGUAAAAAUGUAGAGAUCAGUUGCAUGUUUUCAUGGGGUAAUUAAAUUUAUGAGAAAGUGAAUGUAGACGGAAUUCUGACAACCAUAUUUAUUUAUCAUAAAAUAAAUGUUUGGAGACUGCCA
rnacentral:lncRNA from 1 species